CGUUACGUUAACGUACGGUCGGUUAGGUAAAGUAACUUCCUUACCUUUACCUUUCGGGGUAACCGGGAACUACUACUAGUUAGUUUAAUUUUAAGUUACGUGGUGGUAGGAAACCAGGACCUUUACCUUGAAAAAAUUAGAGUGUUCAAAGCAGGCUUACGUCUGAAUACAUUAGCAUGGAAUAAUAAAAUAGGACGGUGGUCCUGUUUUGUUGGUUUCUGAAUCACCGUAAUGAUUAAUAGGGAUAGUUGGGGGCAUUAGUAUUCAAUUGUCAGAGGUGAAAUUCUUGGAUUUAUUGAAGACUAACUUCUGCGAAAGCAUUUGCCAAGGAUGUUUUCAUUAAUCAAGAACGAAAGUUAGGGGAUCGAAGACGAUCAGAUACCGUCGUAGUCUUAACCAUAAACUAUGCCGACUAGGGAUCGGACGAUGUUAAAUUUUAUUGACUC
rnacentral:rRNA from 1 species